AGAGAGCAGGCGAGUCGGGCGGAUCGGGAGCAGAUCCGGGGUAGAGGGAAAAGAGCUCCGGGCCAGGGGCUGCCGUCGCCGCCGUCGGGGAGUCAGCCCGCCAGCCCGCCAGCUCGUCAGCCCGCCAGCCAGCGCUUCGCGGGCCCUGUCGGUCCCGGUAAGCGGGCCUGCGCUUACCGGAAAGAGGAGCGACACAGAAUUUCCAGGUGUUGUGGUGCGACCAAUUGGUGAAUUUCGUAGUUCCAUAGAUUACCAAUAUCAGCUUCUGCGGUGCAAUGUUGACCUUUUAAAAAUUAUCCAGCUGGGCCUUACAUUCACAAAUGAGAAGGGAGAGUAUCCUUCUGGAAUCAAUACUUGGCAGUUCAAUUUCAAAUUUAACCUUACAGAGGACAUGUACUCCCAGGAUUCCAUAGAUCUCCUUGCUAACUCAGGACUACAGUUUCAGAAGCAUGAAGAGGAAGGGAUUGACACACUGCACUUUGCAGAGCUGCUUAUGACAUCAGGAGUGGUUCUCUGUGACAAUGUCAAAUGGCUUUCAUUUCAUAGUGGCUAUGAUUUUGGCUAUAUGGUAAAGUUGCUUACAGAUUCUCGUUUGCCAGAAGAGGAACAUGAAUUCUUUCAUAUUCUGAACCUUUUCUUCCCAUCCAU
rnacentral:lncRNA from 1 species